rnacentral:rRNA from 1 species
CGGAGGCAGCAGUGGGGAAUAUUGUGCAAUGGGGGAAACCCUGACACAGCGACGCCGCGUGGGCGACGAAGGCCUUCGGGUCGUAAAGCCCUUUUGGCAGGGACGAGUGAGGACGGUACCUGUUGAAUAAGUCUCGGCUAACUACGUGCCAGCAGCCGCGGUAAAGCGUAGGAGGCGAGCGUUAUCCGGAUUCACUGGGCGUAAAGCGCGCGUAGGCGGUUAGGUAAGUCGGACGUGAAAGCCCCUGGCUCAACUGGGGGAGGCCGAUCGAUACUGCUCGGCUUGAGGGUGAGAGAGGAGAGUGGAAUUCCCGGUGUAGCGGUGGAAUGCGUAGAGAUCGGGAGGAACACCAGUGGCGAAGGCGACUCUCUGGCUCACUCCUGACGCUGAUAGCGCGAAAGCGUGGGGAGCAAACGGGAUUAGAUACCCCGGU